rnacentral:rRNA from 1 species
UAGGGAAUAUUCCGCAAUGGGCGAAAGCCUGACGGAGCAACGCCGCGUGAGUGAAGAAGGUCUUCGGAUCGUAAAGCUCUGUCAACAGGGACGAAACAAGACGGUACCUGAGAAGGAAGCCACGGCAAACUACGUGCCAGCAGCCGCGGUAAUACGUAGGUGGCAAGCGUUGUCCGGAAUAACUGGGCGUAAAGCGCAUGUAGACGGCAUGAUAAGCCAAAUGUGAAAUGUAGGGGCUCAACCCCUACACUGCGAUUGGAACUGUCAAGCUUGAGUGCAGGAGAGGCAAAUGGAAUUCCCAGUGUAGCAGUGAAAUGCGUAGAGAUUGGGAGGAACACCAGUGGCGAAGGCGAUUUGCUGGACUGCAACUGACGUUGAGAUGCGAAAGCCAGGGGAGCA